GUCAUUAUUUUCCAGAUGAGGCCUGCUCAAGAGCAUUUGGCUGAUGGGGGCUGAAACCUCUCACUGCAACCAGGUUCAUUUGGCUCCAAGUCCUGUGUGCUCUUUAUGAAGUCAUAGCAAGGCCUGGAAUUUCCACGUGGCUGGGGAGGCCUCACAAUCAUGGUGGAAGGUGAAAGGUACUUCUUACACGGCGGCUGCAAGACAGAAUGAGAACUAGGUGAAAGAGGCUUCCCCUUAUAAAACCAUCAAAUCUCGUGAGACUUAUUCAAAACCAGGAGAACAGUAUGGAGGAAAGCAC
rnacentral:lncRNA from 1 species